ACGUUCAACCGCAAAACAAGCAGAGGGGGCUUAGUGGUGGGGUGACUGCGUACCUUUUGUAUAAUGGGUCAGCGACUUAUAUUCUGUAGCAAGGUUAACCGUAUAGGGGAGCCGGAGGGAAACCGAGUCUUAAUUGGGCGUUAAGUUGCAGGGUAUAGACCCGAAACCCGGUGAUCUAGCCAUGGGCAGGUUGAAGGUUGGGUAACACUAACUGGAGGACCGAACCGACUAAUGUUGAAAAAUUAGCGGAUGACCUGUGGCUGGGGGUGAAAGGCCAAUCAAACCGGGAGAUAGCUGGUUCUCCCCGAAAGCUAUUUAGGUAGCGCCUCGUGAAUUCAUCUCCGGGGGUAGAGCACUGUUUCGGCUAGGGGGCCAUCCCGGCUUACCAACCCGAUGCAAACUGCGAAUACCGGAGAAUGUUAUCACGGGAGACACACGGCGGGUGCUAACGUCCGUCGUGAAGAGGGAAACAACCCAGACCGCCAGCUAAGGUCCCAAAGUCAUGGUUAAGUGGGAAACGAUGUGGGAAGGCCCAGACAGCCAGGAUGUUGGCUUAGAAGCAGCCAUCAUUUAAAGAAAGCGUAAUAGCUCACUGGUCGAGUCGGCCUGCGCGGAAGAUGUAACGGGGCUAAACCAUGCACCGAAGCUGCGGCAGCGAACGUAUCACUUAAAGCGAUUCAGCGGGUUACGAUUGACGGAGCGAAGCGACGUCAAAGCGUAUACAAAGUCGAGUCGGUUUAAGGAUACGUUCGUUGGGUAGGGGAGCGUUCUGUAAGCCUGCGAAGGUGGCCUGUGAGGGUUGCUGGAGGUAUCAGAAGUGCGAAUGCUGACAUAAGUAACGAUAAAGCGGGUGAAAAGCCCGCUCGCCGGAAGACCAAGGGUUCCUGUCCAACGUUAAUCGGGGCAGGGUGAGUCGACCCCUAAGGCGAGGCCGAAAGGCGUAGUCGAUGGGAAACGGGUUAAUAUUCCCGUACUUGGUGUUACUGCGAAGGGGGGACGGAGAAGGCUAUGUUGGCCGGGCGACGGUUGUCCCGGUUUAAGCGUGUAGGCUGGUUUUCCAGGCAAAUCCGGAAAAUCAAGGCUGAGGCGUGACGACGAGGCACUACGGUGCUGAAGCAACAAAUGCCCUGCUUCCAGGAAAAGCCUCUAAGCAUCAGGUAACACGAAAUCGUACCCCAAACCGACACAGGUGGUCAGGUAGAGAAUACCAAGGCGCUUGAGAGAACUCGGGUGAAGGAACUAGGCAAAAUGGUGCCGUAACUUCGGGAGAAGGCACGCUGACACGUAGGUGAAGUGAUUUACUCAUGGAGCUGAAGUCAGUCGAAGAUACCAGCUGGCUGCAACUGUUUAUUAAAAACACAGCACUGUGCAAACACGAAAGUGGACGUAUACGGUGUGACGCCUGCCCGGUGCCGGAAGGUUAAUUGAUGGGGUCAGCGCAAGCGAAGCUCCUGAUCGAAGCCCCGGUAAACGGCGGCCGUAACUAUAACGGUCCUAAGGUAGCGAAAUUCCUUGUCGGGUAAGUUCCGACCUGCACGAAUGGCGUAAUGAUGGCCAGGCUGUCUCCACCCGAGACUCAGUGAAAUUGAACUCGCUGUGAAGAUGCAGUGUACCCGCGGCAAGACGGAAAGACCCCGUGAACCUUUACUAUAGCUUGACACUGAACAUUGAGCCUUGAUGUGUAGGAUAGGUGGGAGGCUUUGAAGUGUGGACGCCAGUCUGCAUGGAGCCGACCUUGAAAUACCACCCUUUAAUGUUUGAUGUUCUAACGUGGACCCGUAAUCCGGGUUGCGGACAGUGUCUGGUGGGUAGUUUGACUGGGGCGGUCUCCUCCUAAAGAGUAACGGAGGAGCACGAAGGUUGGCUAAUCCUGGUCGGACAUCAGGAGGUUAGUGCAAUGGCAUAAGCCAGCUUGACUGCGAGCGUGACGGCGCGAGCAGGUGCGAAAGCAGGUCAUAGUGAUCCGGUGGUUCUGAAUGGAAGGGCCAUCGCUCAACGGAUAAAAGGUACUCCGGGGAUAACAGGCUGAUACCGCCCAAGAGUUCAUAUCGACGGCGGUGUUUGGCACCUCGAUGUCGGCUCAUCACAUCCUGGGGCUGAAGUAGGUCCCAAGGGUAUGGCUGUUCGCCAUUUAAAGUGGUACGCGAGCUGGGUUUAGAACGUCGUGAGACAGUUCGGUCCCUAUCUGCCGUGGGCGCUGGAGAACUGAGGGGGGCUGCUCCUAGUACGAGAGGACCGGAGUGGACGCAUCACUGGUGUUCGGGUUGUCAUGCCAAUGGCACUGCCCGGUAGCUAAAUGCGGAAGAGAUAAGUGCUGAAAGCAUCUAAGCACGAAACUUGCCCCGAGAUGAGUUCUCCCUGAGACUUAGAGUCUCCUGAAGGAACGUUGAAGACGACGACGUUGAUAGGCCGGGUGUGUAAGCGCAGCGAUGCGUUGAGCUAACCGGUACUAAUGAACCGUGAGGCUUAACCUU
rnacentral:rRNA from 1 species